rnacentral:rRNA from 1 species
CGUGCCAGCAGCCGCGGUAAUACGGGGGGUGCAAGCGUUAAUCGGAAUCACUGGGCGUAAAGGGUGCGUAGGCGGUGCAUUAGGUCUCAUGUCGUGAAAUCCCCGGGCUCAACCUGGGAAUGGCCAUGGUGGAAACCGGUGUACUAGAGUAUGGGAGAGGGUGGUGGAAUUCCAGGUGUAGCGGUGAAUACAUGCGUAGAGAUCUGGAGGAACAUCAGUGGCGAAGGCGGCCACCUGGCCCUAAAUACUGACGCUGAGGCACGAAAGCGUGGGGAAAGCAAACAGGA